GACUGCAACCAAGUUAUCCUAAAUGUGGCCAAUCUCGUCGGAUCCUGCAAACUAAUCAGUGGUGAGCCUGGUUAGUACUUUGAUGGGUGACCCCCAGGGCUUGCCAAGUGUGUUGUGGGCC
rnacentral:rRNA from 1 species